rnacentral:rRNA from 1 species
CCUACGGGAGGCAGCAGUAGGGAAUCUUCCACAAUGGGCGAAAGCCUGAUGGAGCAACGCCGCGUGGGUGAAGAAGGUCUUCGGAUCGUAAAACCCUGUUGUUAGAGAAGAAAGUGCGUGAGAGUAACUGUUCACGUUUCGACGGUAUCUACCCAGAAAGCCACGGCUAACUACGUGCCAGCAGCCGCGGUAAUACGUAGGUGGCAAGCGUUAUCCGGAUUUAUUGGGCGUAAAGGGAACGCAGGCGGGCUUGUAAGUCUGAUGUGAAAGCCUUCGGCUUAACCGGAGUAGUGCAUUGGAAACUGGGAGACUGGAGUGCAGAAGAGGAGAGUGGAACUCCAUGUGUAGCGGUGAAAUGCGUAGAUAUAUGGAAGAACACCAGUGGCGAAAGCGGCUCUCUGGUCUGUAACUGACGCUGAGGUUCGAAAGCGUGGGUAGCAAACAGGAUUAGAUACCCCUGUAGUC